CUGGACAAAAUGACCCCUAGCUUGAGGUUUGUAGGUUUAGGAAAAUAUAGUUGUUGGUUUUGUUUUGUUUUGUUUUGUUUGAAGACGCUGAAAUGAACCCAGCAGGCCAGCUGGCAGGAAGUCAGACUGCUGUCCUUGCCUCAGAGGAUGACACAGGCCAAAGGAGAGAAGCAAAACAAGGCAGCCUGAGCAACAGUGAAGCCUGUGAGCUGUGAAGCCCAUGCUCUGCAACAAGAGAAGUCGCUGCAGUGAGAAGCCUGUGCACCACGAGAAGAGAGUGCCCCCGGUCACCGUAACCAGCAAAAGUCUAUGUAGCAAUGAACACCCAGCACAGCCAAAACUAAAUUUUAAAAAAAAAAAAUUAUUAAGAAGAAGAAACACUUUCAAGUAAUAAGAGCAAAAAAGGUGUCUUGAUAUGCAUAACAAUCCCCUUUGAACCACACUGGAGUUUAUGUUAAUGAGGUUGGAACUUUCAGUCCCAGUCACCCAGAAGGGGAGAGGGGCUGAAGGUUAAAUCAGUCACCAAAGACCAGUGAUUUAGUCAAUCAUACCUAUGUAAUGAAGC
ensembl:lncRNA